rfam:Salmo salar isolate Sally breed double haploid chromosome ssa09, whole genome shotgun sequence.
UGGCUCAGUUGGUAGAGCAUGAUGUUUGCAACGCCAGGGUUGUGGGUUCGAUUCCCAC